UCCCUGGUGGUCCAGUGGUUAGGACUCUGCACUUACACUGCAAGGAGCAUGGGUUUUAUCUCUGCUCAGGGAA
rnacentral:tRNA from 1 species